rnacentral:rRNA from 1 species
CCUACGGGAGGCAGCAGUAGGGCAUAUUGCUCAAUGGGGGAAACCCUGAAGCAGCAACGCCGCGUGGAGGAUGAAGGUUUUCGGAUUGUAAACUCCUUUUGUUAGAGAAGAUAAUGACGGUAUCUAACGAAUAAGCACCUGCUAACUCCGUGCCAGCAGCCGCGGUAAUACGGAGGGUGCACGCGUUACUCGGAAUCACUGGGCGGAAAGAGCGCGUAGGCGGGAUAGCAAGUCAGAUGUGAAAUCCUAUGGCUUAACCAUAGAACUGCAUUUGAAACUGUUAUUCUAGAGUAUGGGAGAGGUAGGUGGAAUUCUUGGUGUAGGGGUAAAAUCCGUAGAGAUCAAGAGGAAUACUCAUUGCGAAGGCGACCUGCUAGAACAUAACUGACGCUGAUGCGCGAAAGCGUGGGGAGCAAACAGGAUUAGAGACCCCAGUAGUC